rnacentral:rRNA from 1 species
GAGUUUGAUCUUGGCUCAGAUUGAACGUUGGCGGCAGGCCUAACACAUGCAAGUCGAGCGGAUGACGGGAGCGUUGCUCCUUGAUUCAGCGGCGGACGGGUGAGUAAUGCCUAGGAAUCUGCCUGGUAGUGGGGGACAACGUUUCGAAAGGAACGCUAAUUACCGCAUACGUCCUACGGAGAAAGCAGGGGACCUUCGGGCCUUGCGCUAGUCAGAUGAGCCUAGGCGGAUUAGCUAGUUGUGGGGUAAUGGCUCACCAAGGCGACGAUCCGUAACUGGUCUGAGAGGAUGAUCAGUCACACUGGAACUGAGACACGGUCCAGACUCCUACGGGAGGCAG